GAGGAAAGAGGGAGGUGUGAAUAAUACAUGCAAGUCGAGCGAACAGAUGAGGAGCUUGCUCCUCUGACGUUAGCGGCGGACGGGUGAGUAACACGUGGAUAACCUACCUAUAAGACUGGGAUAACUUCGGGAAACCGGAGCUAAUACCGGAUAAUAUAUUGAACCGCAUGGUUCAAUAGUGAAAGACGGUUUUGCUGUCACUUAUAGAUGGAUCCGCGCCGCAUUAGCUAGUUGGUAAGGUAACGGCUUACCAAGGCAACGAUGCGUAGCCGACCUGAGAGGGUGAUCGGCCACACUGGAACUGAGACACGGUCCAGACUCCUACGGGAGGCAGCAGUAGGGAAUCUUCCGCAAUGGGCGAAAGCCUGACGGAGCAACGCCGCGUGAGUGAUGAAGGUCUUCGGAUCGUAAAACUCUGUUAUUAGGGAAGAACAAAUGUGUAAGUAACUAUGCACGUCUUGACGGUACCUAAUCAGAAAGCCACGGCUAACUACGUG
rnacentral:rRNA from 1 species